UCCCUGGAAGAUUCGUGGUUAGGCCACAACGCUCUCACCGCCGCAGCCCGAGUUCGAUUCCCGGCUAGCUAA